GUCUUUUUGUUAAUAAUUUAAAGUCUAGUCUGCCCACUGAUAUAUUUAUUAAAGGGCUGCAGUAUUUUGACUGUACAAAGGUAGCAUAAUCAUUAGUCUUUUAAUUGGUGACUUGUAUGAAAGAUUGGAUGAAAUAUAAACUGUCUCUUUUAUAAAAAAAAAUUGAAUUUAAUUUUUUAAUUAAAAAGUUAAAAUUAUUUAAAAAGACGAGAAGACCCUAUAGAGUUUUAUAAUUUAUUUUGUAAAUAUUUUUAUUUUUAUAUUUUUAUAAUUUUAAAUUAUUUUGUUGGGGUGAUAAAAAAAUUUAAUUAACUUUUUUUAAUAGUUUACAUUAAUAAGUGAUUAAAUGAUCCAAUUUUAUUGAUUAAAAGAAAAAAUUACCUUAGGGAUAACAGCGUAAUUUUUUUUUUUAGUUCAAAUAAAAAGAAAAGUUUGCGACCUCGAUGUUGGAUUAAGAUAAAAUUUAAAUGUAGAAGUUUAAAAUUUUGAUCUGUUCGAUCAUUAAAAUCUU
rnacentral:rRNA from 1 species